rnacentral:snRNA from 1 species
GUGCUUCAGCUGCAUAUAUAUGAAAAUUGCAACUAUACAGAAAUUAGCAUGGCCCCUGUGCAAGGACAGCAUGCAAAUUUGUGAAGUGACCCAUAUUUAA